rnacentral:rRNA from 1 species
UCCGAAGGGGGCGAGCGUUGUUCGGACUUACUGGGCGUAAAGGGCGCGCAGGCGGCCCUUGAAGUCAGGCGUGAAAGCCCCGGGCUCAACCUGGGAGGUGCGCUUGAUACUCGAGGGCUUGAGUGCGGGAGAGGAGAGUGGAAUUCCCAGUGUAGAGGUGAAAUGCGUAGAUAUUGGGAAGAACACCGGUGGCGAAGGCGGCUCUCUGGACCGUAACUGACGCUGAGGCGCGAAAGCCAGGGGAGCAAACGGG